rnacentral:rRNA from 1 species
UGAGUGCGAGCUGCUACGGCAGCGAAGUUGGUGAUGUCAUGCUUCCAAGAAAAGCCCUAUACCCGUUAAGGCAUCAUGGCCUGUACCCGAAACCGACACAGGUGGGGUGGUAGAGAAUACCGAGGGGCGCGAGGUAACUCUCUCUAAGGAACUCGGCAAAAUGGCCCCGUAACUUCGGGAGAAGGGGUGCCACCGCAAGGUGGUCGCAGUGAAGAGGCCCAGGCGACUGUUUACCAAAAACACAGGUCUCCGCUAAGUCGCAAGACGAUGUAUGGGGGCUGACGCCUGCCCAGUGCCGGAAGGUUAAGGAAGCUGGUCAGCGCAAGCGAAGCUAGCGACUGAAGCCCCGGUGAACGGCGGCCGUAACGAUAACGGUCCUAAGGUAGCGAAAUUCCUUGUCGGGUAAGUUCCGACCCGCACGAAAGGCGUAACGAUCUGGGCGCUGUCUCGGAGAGAGGCUCGGCGAAAUAGAAUUGUCUGUGAAGAUGCGGACUACGUGCACCCGGACAGAAAGACCCUAUGAAGCUUUACUGUAGCUUGGUAUUGUGCCCGGGCUCGCAAUGCGCAGGAUAGGUGGGAGGCUUUGAUCAUCGGCUUGCGGGUCGAUGUGAGCCAACGGUGAGAUACCACUCUUUGCGAGCUAGGGUUCUAACGGCCACCCGUCAUCCGGGGGCCGGACAGUACCUGGUGGGCAGUUUGACUGGGGCGGUCGCCUCCUAAAAGGUAACGGAGGCGCGCAAAGGUUUGCUCAGGCUGGUUGGAAAUCAGCCGACGGGUGUAAAAGCAGAAGCAAGCUUGACUGUGAGACCAACAAGUCGAACAGGGAGGAAACUCGGCUUUAGUGAUCCGACGGUUCUGAGUGGAAGGGCCGUCGCUCAACGGAUAAAAGUUACUCUAGGAUAACAGGCUGAUCUCCCCCAAGAGUUCACAUCGACGGGGAGGUUUGGCACCUCGAUGUCGGCUCAUCGCAACCUGGGGCUGAAGUCGGUCCCAAGGGUUGGGCUGUUCGCCCAUUAAAGCGGUACGCGAGCUGGGUUCAGAACGUCGUGAGACAGUUCGGUCCAUAUCCGGUGCACGCGCAGGAAUAUUGAGAGGAUUUCUCCCUAGUACGAGAGGACCGGGAGGAACGCACCUCUGGUGUACCAGUUAUCGUGCCAACGGUAAACGCUGGGUAGCCAUGUGCGGAGUGGAUAACCGCUGAAAGCAUCUAAGUGGGAAGCCCACCUCAAGAUGAGUAUUCCCAUGGCGUAAGCCAGUAAGGUCACGGGAAGAACACCCGUUGAUAGGCUCUAUGUGGAAGCGCAGUAAUGCGUGAAGCAGAGGAGUACUAAUAGACCGAGGGCUUGACC